GUAGUUGUAGCUCAGUGGGAGAGUGCUUACCUAGCAUGUGUGAGGCACUGGGUUCCAUCCUCAGCACCACA
rnacentral:tRNA from 1 species